AGCUGGAAGUUUAGUGAACCUUAUCACUUAGAGGAAGGAGAAGUCGUAACAAGGUUUCCGUAGGUGAACCUGCGGAAGGAUCAUUCG
rnacentral:rRNA from 1 species